UACAGAGGCCUCAAGCGUUGUUCGGAAUCACUGGGCGUAAAGGGUGUGUAGGUGGUUGAUUAAGUCGAAUGAUAAAGUCCAGGGCUUAACCGUGGAAUCCAUCCGAUACUGGUCAACUAGAGGCUCGGGGAGGGGGUUGGAACUCACGGAGUAGCAGUGAAAUGCGUAGAGAUCGUGAAGAACACCAAAGGCGAAGGCAGACCCCUAAAAGAUGCCUGACACUGAGACACGAAGGCUAGGGUAGCAAACGGG
rnacentral:rRNA from 1 species